UGAUCCGGUGGUUCUGAAUGGAAGGGCCAUCGCUCAACGGAUAAAAGGUACUCCGGGGAUAACAGGCUGAUACCGCCCAAGAGUUCAUAUCGACGGCGGUGUUUGGCACCUCGAUGUCGGCUCAUCACAUCCUGGGGCUGAAGUAGGUCCCAAGGGUAUGGCUGUUCGCCAUUUAAAGUGGUACGCGAGCUGGGUUUAGAACGUCGUGAGACAGUUCGGUCCCUAUCUGCCGUGGGCGCUGGAGAACUGAGGGGGGCUGCUCCUAGUACGAGAGGACCGGAGUGGACGCAUCACUGGUGUUCGGGUUGUCAUGCCAAUGGCACUGCCCGGUAGCUAAAUGCGGAAGAGAUAAGUGCUGAAAGCAUCUAAGCACGAAACUUGCCCCGAGAUGAGUUCUCCCUGACCCUUUAAGGGUCCUGAAGGAACGUUGAAGACGACGACGUUGAUAGGCCGGGUGUGUAAGCGCAGCGAUGCGUUGAGCUAACCGGUACUAAUGAACCGUGAGG
rnacentral:rRNA from 1 species